rnacentral:tRNA from 3 species
GCGCCCGUAGCUCAGCUGGAUAGAGCGUCGCCCUCCGGAGGCGAAGGUCAGAGGUUCGAAUCCUCUCGGGCGCGCCA